CAAUAUAAGUGAUGGCGACCGGCGCACGGGUGAGUAACACGUAUCCAACCUGCCGAUAACUCGGGGAUAGUCUUUCGAAAGAAAGAUUAAUACCCGAUGGUAUAAUAAAACCGCAUGGUUUAAUUAUUAAAGAAUUUCGGUUAUCGAUGGGGAUGCGUUCCAUUAGGCAGUUGGUGAGGUAACGGCUCACCAAACCUUCGAUGGAUAGGGGUUCUGAGAGGAAGGUCCCCCACAUUGGAACUGAGACACGGUCCAA
rnacentral:rRNA from 1 species